GAUGAACGCUGGCGGCGUGCCUAAUACAUGCAAGUCGAGCGAAUGGAUUGAGAGCUUGCUCUUAUGAAGUUAGCGGCGGACGGGUGAGUAACACGUGGGUAACCUGCCCAUAAGACUGGGAUAACUCCGGGAAACCGGGGCUAAUACCGGAUAACAUUUUGAACCGCAUGGUUCGAAAUUGAAAGGCGGCUUCGGCUGUCACUUAUGGAUGGGCCCGCGUCGCAUUAGCUAGUUGGUGAGGUAACGGCUCACCAAGGCAACGAUGCGUAGCCGACCUGAGAGGGUGAUCGGCCACACUGGGACUGAGACACGGCCCAGACUCCUACGGGAGGCAGCAGUAGGGAAUCUUCCGCAAUGGACGAAAGUCUGACGGAGCAACGCCGCGUGAGUGAUGAAGGUUUUCGGGUCGUAAAACUCUGUUGUUAGGGAAGAACAAGUGCUAGUUGAAUAAGCUGGCACCUUGACGGUACCUAACCAGAAAGCCACGGCUAACUACGUGCCAGCAGCCGCAGUAA
rnacentral:rRNA from 1 species